AGCAGUGGGGAAUAUUGCACAAUGGGCGCAAGCCUGAUGCAGCCAUGCCGCGUGUAUGAAGAAGGCCUUCGGGUUGUAAAGUACUUCUAGCAGUGAGGAAGGUGGGUAUGUUAAUAGCAUACUCAUUUGACGUUAGCUGCAGAAGAAGCACCGGCUAACUCCGUGCCAGCAGCCGCGGUAAUACGGAGGGUGCGAGCGUUAAUCGGAAUUACUGGGCGUAAAGCGCAUGCAGGUGGUUUGUUAAGUCAGAUGUGAAAGCCCGGGGCUCAACCUCGGAAUUGCAUUUGAAACUGGCAAACUAGAGUACUGUAGAGGGGGUAGAAUUUCAGGUGUAGCGGUGAAAUGCGUAGAGAUCUGAAGGAAUACCGGUGGCGAAGGCGGCCCCCUGGACAGAUACUGACACUCAGAUGCGAAAGCGUGGGGAGCAAACAGGAUUAGAUACCCUGGUAG
rnacentral:rRNA from 1 species